AGGACGAACGCUGGCGGCGCGCUUAACACAUGCAAGUCGAGCGAGAACCCAGGCUUCGGCCUGGGGGAAAGCGGCGAACGGGUGAGUAACACGUGGGUGACCUGCCCUCAGCUCUGGGAUAAGCCUGGGAAACUGGGUCUAAUACUGGAUAUGACUGCGCAUCGCAUGGUGUGUGGUGGAAAGUUUUUUCGGCUGGGGAUGGGCCCGCGGCCUAUCAGCUUGUUGGUGGGUGAUGGCCUACCAAGGCGACGACGGGUA
rnacentral:rRNA from 1 species